UGGGGAAUCUUCCGCAAUGGACGAAAGUCUGACGGAGCAACGCCGCGUGAGUGAUGACGGCCUUCGGGUUGUAAAGCUCUGUUAAUCGGGACGAAAGGCCUUCUUGCGAAUAGUGAGAAGGAUUGGCGGUACCGGAAUAGAAAGCCACGGCUAACUACGUGCCAGCAGCCGCGGUAAUACGUAGGUGGCAAGCGUUGUCCGGAAUUAUUGGGCGUAAAGCGCGCGCAGGCGGAUAGGUCAGUCUGUCUUAAAAGUUCGGGGCUUAACCCCGUGAUGGGAUGGAAACUGCCAAUCUAGAGUAUCGGAGAGGAAAGUGGAAUUCCUAGUGUAGCGGUGAAAUGCGUAGAUAUUAGGAAGAACACCAGUGGCGAAGGCGACUUUCUGGACGAAAACUGACGCUGAGGCGCGAAAGCCAGGGGAGCGAACGGGAUUAGAUACCCCGGUAGUCCUGGCCGUAAACGAUGGGUACUAGGUGUAGGAGGUAUCGACCCCUUCUGUGCCGGAGUUAACGCAAUAAGUACCCCGCCUGGGGAGUACGACCGCAAGGUUG
rnacentral:rRNA from 1 species